AAAUGCAGAGACAGGGAAUGACUCUGUUACUUAACCUGUUUCCUCAGCAGUCCGACAUCCCGCUGGCACUCCUCCUCUUCCCAGUGAGCACGCAGGUACUCCUUCACGUUGUCUUUGAUGUAAGGGAACAAGGUCUCCUGGCAGAAAAAGAGGCUGCUCCUGUAAGCUGGCAGAGCUAUCUUUUAAAUCAUGGAGGAAAUUAAAGAGAAUCCACUGGGAAAUGCAGCUGACCUGCUGGCUUGGUUUAAUCUCCUUUACAACUCAGAUGUCAAAAGGACUCAAUUGUCUUUCAAAAGCAGUGUUCCAUACUCUUGUGCUGGCUAAGAAAAACUCCCUGACUGACUCUGAAAGAUCAGUGGAUUCUGUGAUUUGUGAGAUUUUAAAAGGGUAAAAGUCUUGGCAAGUGCAUCAGUCUGUGAGCUAAGAGGGGACACCCAUGUGACAGCUGGAGUAGUGGACAGCUCAGUGGGACAGAUGGUUUAUGGAUGCCAGGAGUGAUCCCAGUCAAUGAUGUACUAUUCAGUAGUUCUAACAUUAGAAAAAGGAUUAAAUAAAAUCGUUUAAUAGUGAAGAACAAAGCAUCGACGGAACCAUCAGUGGACCUUUCAAAGCCACAUAGAGGUUAACUGAAAGAUCAAAUAAACUAACUUGUUUCAAGCA